CCUACGGGAUGCAGCAGUGGGGAAUAUUGGGCAAUGGGCGAAAGCCUGACCCAGCAACGCCGCGUGAAGGAAGAAGGCUUUCGGGUUGUAAACUUCUUUUGACAGGGAAGAGCAGAAGACGGUACCUGUCGAAUAAGCCACGGCUAACUACGUGCCAGCAGCCGCGGUAAUACGUAGGUGGCAAGCGUUGUCCGGAUUUACUGGGUGUAAAGGGCGUGUAGCCGGGCUGACAAGUCAGAUGUGAAAUACGGGGGCUCAACCCCCGAACUGCAUUUGAAACUGUUGGUCUUGAGUAUCGGAGAGGCAGGCGGAAUUCCUGGUGUAGCGGUGAAAUGCGUAGAUAUUAGGAGGAACACCAGUGGCGAAGGCGGCCUGCUGGACGACAACUGACGGUGAGGCGCGAAAGCGUGGGGAGCAAACAGGAUUAGAUACCCUAGUAGUC
rnacentral:rRNA from 1 species